GGACCAAGGAGUCCAACAUGUGCGCGAGUCUAAGGGUGAACUAAACCUGGAGGCGAAAUGAAAGUGAGUGUAACGCAGGCCGAUCCCCGGCCGUACUCUCCCGAGGGUUGCCCGGCUGCCGUUUUUGAGUUAAUUUCCGGCGGCUGCGGUGGCUCUCGGGGUUGCGGCGUCCAGCUCGAACCAGAGCCGGGGCGCAGGCCGAGGACUUGUCGCUCAGCGGCCCGGGCAACGGGGCCUCGUGCCCUUAUCCCGGUGUGCUGCUGGCAAGUACCUAAGAGCGCACACGUUGGGACCC
rnacentral:rRNA from 1 species